rnacentral:rRNA from 1 species
CUUACACAUGCAAGUCGAGCGGGCACUUUCGGGUGUCAGCGGCGGACGGGUGAGUAACGCGUGGGAACGUGCCUUCUGGUUCGGAAUAACCCUGGGAAACUAGGGCUAAUACCGGAUACGCCCUUAUGGGGAAAGGUUUACUGCCGGAAGAUCGGCCCGCGUCUGAUUAGCUAGUUNNNNNNNUAACGGCCUACCAAGGCGACGAUCAGUAGCUGGUCUGAGAGGAUGAUCAGCCACACUGGGACUGAGACACGGCCCAGACUCCUACGGGAGGCAGCAGUGGGGAAUAUUGGACAAUGGGCGCAAGCCUGAUCCAGCCAUGCCGCGUGAGUGAUGAAGGCCUUAGGGUUGUAAAGCUCUUUUAUCCGGGACGAUAAUGACGGUACCGGAGGAAUAAGCCCCGGCUAACUUCGUGCCAGCAGCCGCGGUAAUACGAAGGGGGCUAGCGUUGCUCGGAAUCACUGGGCGUAAAGGGCGCGUAGGCGGCGUUUUAAGUCGGGGGUGAAAGCCUGUGGCUCAACCACAGAAUGGCCUUCGAUACUGGGACGCUUGAGUAUGGUAGAGGUUGGUGGAACUGCGAGUGUAGAGGUGAAAUUCGUAGAUAUUCGCAAGAACACCGGUGGCGAAGGCGGCCAACUGGACCAUUACUGACGCUGAGGCGCGAAAGCGUGGGGAGCAAACAGGAUAGAUAACUCUGGUAGUCCACGCCGUAAACGAUGAAUGCCAGCUGUUGGGGUGCUUGCACCGCAGUAGCGCAGCUAACGCUUUGAGCAUUCCGCCUGGGGAGUACGGUCGCAGAUUAAAACUCAANNAUUGACGGGGNCCGCUAAGCUGUGAGCAUGUGGUUUAAUUCGAAGCACGCGCAGAAC